rfam:Photobacterium gaetbulicola Gung47 chromosome 2, complete sequence.
CCUUUGGGGAGUAGCCUCUUGUCCUGGCAAGACAAACGUCAACAUAAUUGAAGCAAAAUCUUCAUGGCGUUUGUGACUCACGUUUAUCCUACUAGUGAGUU